rnacentral:rRNA from 1 species
CCUACGGGAGGCAGCAGUGGGGAAUAUUGCACAAUGGGGGAAACCCUGAUGCAGCCAUGCCGGGUGGGUGAAGAAGGCCUUCGGGUUGUAAAGCACUUUCAGUUGUGAGGAAAGGUUAGUAGUUAAUAAGUCAAGCAGUGAC